AAAGGUAAGCUACUAAGAGCGAAUGGUGGAUGCCUUGACUGGUAAAGGCGAUGAAGGACGUACUAGACUGCGAUAAGCUACGGGGAGCUGUCAAGAAGCUUUGAUCCGUAGAUUUCCGAAUGGGGCAACCCAAUGUAUAGAGAUAUACAUUACCUAUAUAGGAGCGAACGAGGGGAAUUGAAACAUCUUAGUACCCUCAGGAAAAGAAAUCAAUAGAGAUUGCGUCAGUAGCGGCGAGCGAAAGCGCAAGAGGGCAAACCCAGUGCUUGCACUGGGGGUUGUAGGACUGCAAUGUGCAAG
rnacentral:rRNA from 2 species